AGUCGUAACAAGGUCUCCGUUGGUGAACCAGCGGAGGGAUCAUUACAAGAGUAGCCCUAGGCUCUCCAACCCACUGUGAACAUACCUACGUUCCCCCGGCGGGCUCAGCGCGCGGUGCCUCCGGGCGCCGGGCGUCCGCCGAGGGCCCCCAAACUCGAAUUUAUUACGUGUAUAUCUGAGGGGCGAAAGCCUGUAAAAAUAAAUCAAAACUUUCAACAACGGAUCUCUUGGCUCUGGCAUCGAUGAAGAACGCAGCGAAAUGCGAUAAGUAAUGUGAAUUGCAGAAUUCAGUGAAUCAUCGAAUCUUUGAACGCACAUUGCGCCCGCCGGCACUCCGGCGGGCAUGCCUGUCCGAGCGUCAUUUCAACCCUCAGGCCCUCCCUUCCGGGGGACGGGCCUGGUGUUGGGGCUCGGGGUCCGCAAGGCCCCCGUCCCCUAAACCCAGUGGCGGUCGCGCUGUAAUCCCCUGCGUAGUAACACACCUCGCACCGGAGACCAGCUCGGCCACGCCGUAAAACACCCCAAUUUUACCAAGGUUGACCUCGGAUCAGGUAGGAAUACCCGCUGAACUUAAGCAUAUCAAUAA
rnacentral:misc_RNA from 1 species